rnacentral:rRNA from 1 species
UACGUAGGAGGCGAGCGUUGUCCGGAGUUACUGGGCGUAAAGGGUGCGCAGGCGGCGGUUCGCGUGGCGAGAUGAAAUCUCCUGGCUUACCUGGGAGGAUGGUCGCCAGACGGGAUCGCUUGAGGGUCGGAGAGGGGCGUGGAAUUCCGGGUGGAGCGGUGAAAUGCGUAGAGAUCCGGAGGAACACCGAUGGCGAAGGCAGGUCUCUGGGCUGACACUGACGCUCAUGCACGAAAGCGUGGGGAGCAAACAGG